CAGCCGCCGCGGUAAUACGAAGGGUGCAAGCGUUAAUCGGAAUUACUGGGCGUAAAGCGUGCGUAGGCGGCUUCUUAAGUCGGAUGUGAAAUCCCUGAGCUUAACUUAGGAAUUGCAUUCGAUACUGGGAAGCUAGAGUAUGGGAGAGGAUGGUAGAAUUCCAGGUGUAGCGGUGAAAUGCGUAGAGAUCUGGAGGAAUACCGAUGGCGAAGGCAGCCAUCUGGCCUAAUACUGACGCUGAGGUACGAAAGCAUGGGGAGCAAACAGGAUUAGAUACCCGUGUAGUCCCUGUCUCUUAUAC
rnacentral:rRNA from 1 species